GCUAAACGAUGCACACCUGUAACUCACGUGACCCUGGUUAUUAUUGAAACGAGAACGAGGGCGUCGUGCCUUUAUAAGACUGCGUUAAUGGUUCCGUGGAGUUAUCCCUUCCGUUGUUGUUUAUUGAUUGUUAAACAUGGCUUCAUUUACAAAGGUGGUUGUGUGUGUCCUCAUUGCUUGUGUCUGUAAUGCAUUCGGUUUUCCGAAGAGAGAUGUGAACUUUAAGGCCUCUGCAGUUGACCGCCAAAGUGAUGAUGUGGUUGUCACCACAACAGCCGUUCCCCACAACCAGACCACCUCUGCCCCUACUGAAGCUGGUGAUGGAGCAAGUGAAGAUGCUGUGGCUACUACCCCAGCACCUAAUCCACACAACCAGACAACUUCUGCACAAACUGAAGUUACUGAUGGGGCCAGUGAAGAUGCUGUGGACCGCCAAAGUGAUGAUGUGGUUGUCGCCACAACACCCGUUCCCCACAACCAGACCACCUCUGCCCCUACUGAAGCUGAUGGAGCAAGUGAAGAUGCUGUGGCUACCACCCCAACACCAAAUCCCCCAACUACAUCUGACCACACUGCAGCUACCGAUGAUGCAAGUGAGGGUGCUGUGGCUGCCCAAACUGGAACUACUGUAUCCCAUACGACUGAAGUCUGAUUCGACUGCUCCUCUGGUCACAAUGACCUGUCUGGACUUUUUGCCUCUACAUGUUCACUGCAAUAAAGGACAGAUUUGUAUUUUUUUUUUAAUCAAAUGUUGUCUUGCCUUUUUCAAAUUGAGGCCUUGUCCUGUUUUGGUAGUGGAGAUAACUGACGCCUCUUUCCUAACGCACUACAUUUCUGGCAACUUAUAAUGCAUAGUGAACAUGUAAUAAUUCGGUGGUAUGAUCCCAGGAGAACAUUUUUAAGAAACAAAUCACAGAAUUGUGGUUCCUCGCCGUUUUUUUUUUAAUAUAAAUCGAGGCUUUCCUCAUAAUACCGCAAGAACAA
rnacentral:lncRNA from 1 species